CUAGUAUCUACAGUAAGUAUUACUUACCUAUUACAUUCAUAAUCAAUUCUUCUUAAAAUUGUACGUAUCAAUAAUAAUACCUUUAGCUUUUGUAUUACUUUUAUAUAUUUUUUUUAAAUUGAAAACUCUUGCAUAAUAAUACAUACAAUAGAUUUGCUAUAUAAGCAUAAUGAAGAAUUUAUAUACAAUAAAUAUGCAAGCUCCUAAAAAUCUACGUACUUCUAUUAACAAAUCACAUAUAAUUUUUAUGAUUUCAAUUCCAUCAAUUUUAUUCGGAUCCAAUUUUUUCCCAUAAAAUUUAUAUAAAUAUCCAAUAAUAACUUAUAUUCCAAAUAUAAAUUUUAUUCUUGAAAGUAUAAGAUGAACUUCUUUAAGUUUAGUUAAAAUCUUUUCACAAUCUUAUAUAUAAUCAACAAUGUACUAGUGACACCCCCUC
rnacentral:lncRNA from 1 species